GUGCCAGCCGCCGCGGUAAUACGGAGGGGGCCAGCGUUGUUCGGAAUCAUUGGGCGUAAAGGGCGCGUAGGCGGCCAAGCAAGUCGGAGGUGAAAUCCCUCGGCUCAACCGGGGAACUGCCCCCGAUACUGCUUGGCUCGAGUCCCGGAGAGGGUAGUGGAAUUCCCAGUGUAGCGGUGAAAUGCGUAGAUAUUGGGAGGAACACCGGUGGCGAAGGCGGCUACCUGGACGGGUACUGACGCUGAGGCGCGAAAGCGUGGGGAGCAAACAGGAUUAGAUACCCCAGUAGUCC
rnacentral:rRNA from 1 species